rfam:Frischella perrara strain PEB0191, complete genome.
UAUGGGUCCUCUUGCAACGUUUGCUUGCUCACUUGGUCAGGUCCGGAAGGAAGCAGCCUAAGUAGGUUAUAUGUGUGUGAGAUUCGGCUGAUAGGG